UACAGUGUGCUGUGCCGUUACUUUAUUAUCAUGUGAGUGCUAGUGACCGUUUUCUAAUCGUGCCGCAGUUCGUCGUCCUUGCCCUUCACGGAGAAAAGGAAGAGGAAGAAAAAAGUGGGCGUUGCUGCUCUUUUCCUUACUCAUUCACUCACUCACUCACUCACGGCAAGGAGCCAAAGCUUGACGGAAACAGGAGUAUGGGAACCAGCUUUGUAUAAACCCGCCUUUACCCGCUCUGGUCACCACGUCCGCUGAGAUGGGACACCCUCUCUCUCUCUCUCUCCCUGUGACAACCCGCCGACGCC